GAUGGCAAGAAGUGCUCCUGGGUGGGGACUCAGCGUUUUCUUUCCUUCAAAGGACUAAAGCCAGGAGAUGGCUCAGAUGGCUCAGAAUCAUGGAAAAUGUAGCAAAGUCAGUUAGCACAUGGUGCAAGUAAAAACAAAUGGAGGCCUUGGGAGAAAACAUCCAUAAAGGCCCAAUGCAAUGGAGACUGCAGACCAUGGACCGAAACCUCUGAAACCAUCAUUGCGUAUUUCCCACCACGUGACACCAUCUGGAAUCUCACCCUCAGUCAGCAUAGCCAUCAGAGUCCAGAUCUGAGUCAGUUAAACAAGAGCAAAAUCAUUUGGAAGCAACCCGGGUUACCUAGAACUGGAAUAUUGGAUCCAGAAUUUUCGAUAUGUGCUUUCAUUUUGUAAGUUUAGUCAGCCUAAAACUAUGUUCCCCUCUAA